rnacentral:rRNA from 1 species
GGACUACAAGGGUAUCUAAUCCUGUUUGCUCCCCACGCUUUCGCACCUGAAUGUCAAUGUUGGACCAGGAAGCCGCCUUCGCCACUGAUGUUCCUCCAGAUAUCUACGCAUUUCACCGCUACACCUGGAAUUCCGCUUCCCUCUUCCACAUUCGAGCAAUGCAGUUUCAAAUGCAGUUCCCAGGUUGAGCCCGGGGAUUUCACAUCUGACUUACAAAGCCAUCUACGUGCGCUUUACGCCCAGUAAUUCCGAUUAACGCUCGCACCCUCUGUAUUACCGCGGCUGCUGGCAC